CCUACGGGAGGCAGCAGUGGGGAAUUUUGGACAAUGGGCGAAAGCCUGAUCCAGCAAUGCCGCGUGAGUGAAGAAGGCCUUCGGGUUGUAAAGCUCUUUUGUCAGGGAAGAAACGGUGAGGGCUAAUAUCCCUUGCUAAUGACGGUACCUGAAGAAUAAGCACCGGCUAACUACGUGCCAGCAGCCGCGGUAAUACGUAGGGUGCAAGCGUUAAUCGGAAUUACUGGGCGUAAAGCGUGCGCAGGCGGUUUUGUAAGUCUGUCGUGAAAUCCCCGGGCUCAACCUGGGAAUUGCGAUGGAGACUGCAAGGCUAGAAUCUGGCAGAGGGGGGUAGAAUUCCACGUGUAGCAGUGAAAUGCGUAGAGAUGUGGAGGAACACCGAUGGCGAAGGCAGCCCCCUGGGUCAAGAUUGACGCUCAUGCACGAAAGCGUGGGGAGCAAACAGGAUUAGAUACCCUGGUAGUCCACGCCCUAAACGAUGUCUACUAGUUGUCGGGUUUUAAUAACUUGGUAACGCAGCUAACGCGUGAAGUAGACCGCCUGGGGANACGGUCNCAAGNUUAAAACUCAAAUGAAAUUGACCGGNNGAGAGAGCGACGGACGACGACGAGGGAGGAGG
rnacentral:rRNA from 1 species